CUUUGUUACUCAGGAAGGGCAACUGCGGUUCGUUGUUUUCUGAAUUGAGCGUGGUGGAGAUCAAGAAGGCGUCCGCGGCUCCGAGAGAGUGUGUGUCUACUGUGGUCUGCUACCAAAUAAGUAUGAAUUGUAGCCGCCACGCCCCCUGCCUCUUGGAAUGAAGCCACGCCCCCUGAAGGAGAAGCCCCGCCCCCGGAAGAACCUGCCCCGGGUCGGGUAGGUACCGGUCUGUAGGUACAUCUGCUUCCGCUCCCAGUAGUUCAUAUCAUCCCGGGAACGAUUGUCAUGCUGUGUAAGGAAUAUUUUCUCAUUAAUGAAAAGCAAGAGAUGCCAAAUGGCAUAAGGUCGAUCACCUGACACUCAAAGGAACAGAACUGAUUUAAGCAGCUCUUGUGAUCUGUGUCAUUGUUCUGAUCAUAUGACUUCUAGUGUUAACGAGCUACCUUUUAAAAUUUUAACCAGUUA